UAUUUUUAAACCAAUUAAAAUAAAGGAGAAAUGAGAAAAUUCAUUAAAAUAAAAAAUCAGUGAAAUAAAAUGUGCAAAAAUAAAAAUAAGAUGAAGAAAAAUAAAAUAGAAUUUUAGAAAUUAUUUUGGAUGAAAAAUGAAAUUAAUAUGAAUUUUAAAAGAAAAAAGCAAUUAAAAAUAAUAAAAGAAAAAGAAUUUAAAAUUAGAAAAAC
rnacentral:lncRNA from 1 species